GAUGAACGCUGGCGGCGUGCCUAAUACAUGCAAGUCGAGCGAACAGACGAGGAGCUUGCUCCUCUGACGUUAGCGGCGGACGGGUGAGUAACACGUGGAUAACCUACCUAUAAGACUGGGAUAACUUCGGGAAACCGGAGCUAGUACCGGAUAAUAUAUUGAACCGCAUGGUUCAAUAGUGAAAGACGGUUUUGCUGUCACUUAUAGAUGGAUCCGCGCCGCAUUAGCUAGUUGGUAAGGUAACGGCUUACCAAGGCGACGAUGCGUAGCCGACCUGAGAGGGUGAUCGGCCACACUGGAACUGAGACACGGUCCAGACUCCUACGGGAGGCAGCAGUAGGGAAUCUUCCGCAAUGGGCGAAAGCCUGACGGAGCAACGCCGCGUGAGUGAUGAAGGUCUUCGGAUCGUAAAACUCUGUUAGUAGGGAAGAACAAAUGUGUAAGUAACUAUGCACGUCUUGACGGUACCUAAUCAGAAAGCCACGGCUAACUACGUG
rnacentral:rRNA from 1 species